GUAGUCCACGCUGUAAACGAUGGGCACUAGGUGUCCGAGGUAUUGACCCCUUGGGUGCCGCAGCUAACGCAUUAAGUGCCCCGCCUGGGGAGUACGGUCGCAAGAUUAAAACUCAAAGGAAUUGACGGGGGCCCGCACAAGCGGUGGAGCAUGUGGUUCAAUUCGACGCAACGCGAAGAACCUUACCUGGGCUAGACAACGGCGGACCGUCCUAGAAAUAGGACUUUCCCUUCGGGGACUGCCGGUUCAGGUGCUGCGUGGCUGUCGUCAGCUCGUGCCGUGAGGUGUUGGGUUAAGUCCCGCAACGAGCGCAACCCCCAUCAUUAGUUGCCAUCAGGUAAAGCUGGGAACUCUAAUGAAACUGCCGUCGUAAGACGCGAGGAAGGAGGGGAUGAUGUCAAGUCAUCAUGGCCUUUAUGCCCAGGGCUACACACGUGCUACAAUGGAAGAGACAAAGAGCUGCCACUUGGCGACAAGGCGCUAAUCUCAAAAACUCUUUCUCAGUUCAGAUCGCAGUCUGCAACUCGACUGCGUGAAGCUGGAAUCGCUAGUAAUCGUAUAUCAGCAAUGAUACGGUGAAUA
rnacentral:rRNA from 1 species